UACGUAGGGGGCUAGCGUUGUCCGGAAUUAUUGGGCGUAAAGAGCGUGUAGGCGGUCCGGUAAGUCGGCUGUGAAAGUCCAGGGCUCAACCCUGGGAUGCCGUCGAUACUGCCGGACUAGAGUUCGGAAGAGGCGAGUGGAAUUCCCGGUGUAGCGGUGAAAUGCGCAGAUAUCGGGAGGAACACCUAUGGCGAAGGCAGCUCGCUGGGACGUUACUGACGCUGGAGACGCGAAAGCGUGGGGAGCAAACAGG
rnacentral:rRNA from 1 species